UAAAUUAAUAACUAAUUUUAAUUAAAGACUGCACAUACUAGGCGCCCAUCAUCUGUCCAUCAAUCUGUGCAUAUGUUCAGUGCAUGGAACGAUCGUUCAGUAGGUGGUGACGAACGGCUUGUAGACCUUGAGGUCGGAGAUGAUCCCGGCGACGGAGCCCGCGGCGGAGGCCACGGUGAUGAUGAGGCAGGCGAGGCUGAGCAUCUGCAGGCACACCCACCGCGUGCUCCACCUGGGCACCUUCUUCUGCACGAUGUACAUCUCUACGGGGAAGUAGACGGUGAGCGGCCAGAACCCCAGCGCGCCCAGCAGCCCGACCACGUCGUUGAAGAACGGCAGGAGCAUGG
rnacentral:lncRNA from 1 species